UGUCGGUCCCCCCGCGACGAUACGUUGUGAACCCGGUCAGGCCCGGAAGGGAGCAGCCGUAGCAGCGGACUCGUGCGCCGGGGUGCGGCUGGCGCGG
rnacentral:SRP_RNA from 1 species